UACGAAGGGGGCUAGCGUUGUUCGGAAUUACUGGGCGUAAAGCGCACGCAGGCGGAUAUUUAAGUCAGGGGUGAAAUCCCGCAGCUCAACUGCGGAACUGCCUUUGAUACUGGGUAUCUUGAGUAUGGAAGAGGUAAGUGGAAUUCCGAGUGUAGAGGUGAAAUUCGUAGAUAUUCGGAGGAACACCAGUGGCGAAGGCGGCUUACUGGUCCAUUACUGACGCUGAGGUGCGAAAGCGUGGGGAGCAAACAGG
rnacentral:rRNA from 1 species